UCACUACUCCCUCUGUUCGGAAUUACUUGUCGCAAAAAUGGAUGUAUCUAGACGUAUUUUAAUUCUAGAUACAUCCAUUUCCGAGACAAGUAAUUCCGAACGGAGGGAGUACUAU
rnacentral:pre_miRNA from 1 species